GUGCAUGAAAAUGAAAAGAGAAUUUUAAUGAUGCGUUCAUUGAAACGUUUUACUAGAGAUUUGAGGUUAUGAUGUAAGAAGAGAGUCAAGAUUUGAGUAUGAUGAGCAUUAUAAUGUGCCUGAAUGUUUGUGAGUGUUAUAUGUGUUUAAAAUGAGCUUUGAUGAGUUUCCUUGAAGGAAUGUUGAGUUGAGUAUUUUAAGAGUUUGAGAUGAGAUUUUGGUGAAUUUCGUAGGCCUACUGACCUACUGUGAUCGACGGUUUUCAAUGUCAAAAAAAAACUUUGAAAAUUUUAUACCAAGUCUCUACAUGAGUCUUGAGAACAUCGGUAAAAUUUCAAGUCAUUUGGACUUCGUUUACUAUUUUUAUAAAAUACAAAACCGAAACUGCACAUUACUACCGAGAGUUUCAGAGAGCAGGGGAAAGAGUCAUUCAUUUCAGUAGCUUCCUGUGUGAUCUAGCUUUCCAAAAUUUUAUGGUAUUAACCUUAUUGUGUUAUCUAGAUAUCCACAAAAUUUGAGCCCAG
rnacentral:lncRNA from 1 species